rnacentral:lncRNA from 1 species
UCCCGGUGUCUCAGGAUUGCUCAGGUUCAGGUAUUUGUUGAAGAGCCACCUUGAAGUGUUUAAAGCAUCUCCUCUGCUUACAACUGGAAAUAUAUUUCUACGGCUUUGCCAAUCAUUGGUAAGUUUUAUCCACUCCUUCCUCCAUUCCUUUAGCUUGAAAUCCUCGCCUGCCUCUAAGCUUUCUCUCAAAUAUUUAAAAUAAAUAGCAGCUCUUGGGCCAUAAUAAUCACUCAGAAGCCCACUCCAGUACUUGUUCCCUGUGGAAAAUAGUAAAACAAUCAUUUAAUAUGUCCAAACAUCGCACUACUUUUAUUUUCUUUUUCUCUGUUAAUUGCUGUUCAUACCAUAGUCACGAAGCAGACUGGCUUCUUCCUCUGUGUUGUCAAACCACAUGGUGAUUUGUGUUCUAGCAUUCCACUCAAACUGAAAAUGUUAAGAACUGUAAAUCAACAUAAGUAUGUAUAGGAUCGGAUUGAUUUUCAAUUUUAUGCUUAUAGAAGGCAAUCAAACCUGUCUCUUCUGUUCUUCAUUUUGAGCUAGUUGUAUUGCACUAUCUAACCAGGGGCCUAGAAGAAAUCCAUCAUGGCAAGCCAACAACGUGUCUAAAUCUUCCACCAGGUCAAGAAAUCUUUGGCUGAGUAGGGUCACUUCAUGGAUAUCUCUUGAUUGGUAUGCCUCAAUGACCUUAAAGAACAGCUGAUUUGCAUAUUUUGCUAACACUUGUCUGGUGAGAUCAACAAGAUCAUACCUAAUAAAGAAUAAAUAGCAUGAAUCUUCUUAUAAAAAAAAAAAAAUAGUAAGAAUCUGGAUUUUUUUUUUGAAGAAGUAAGAAUCUGGAUAUUGAACCUUAACAUACAAUAAGACAACAUUGAGGUACUUAAUGAGGACUGGUAAUUCUUAAGUAAUCAACUUCUCUUACCUAUAUGUACUACUUUUUGGAAGUUCGUUUCCACUAGAUAUAAAUAGCUCCAAUGCAUAAAUUACUUCAGAUGUUGAAUACCAUAAGUGAGGUCGAUCAAAUGAAUCAGUUAUUUCCUUGCUAACUGCUCUCGAGAAUGGCUUGCCAUAGGGGCGAGAGUGUUCAUGCUGAACUGAAAGUAAGGAAGGGUCUACAUCUGGGAAUGCUACAAUGACAUCUCUGUUUUUGUCCUGUUCCCAUACACCAAAAAAUAUUUGGUAAAACUGAAAAUGAUCUUCUUAUUUAUGCAUGCAAAGUUGAAAUUCAACAUAAUAUAUGCAGCUGAGGAUGUUAUUAGUUUACAGAAGUCGUUUGUGAGAUAAAAGGAGAACAGAAAAUUGAGGAGAAAAAGUAAUACAUAAAUCAUUUAUUUUGUUUGACAUAAAUACAACACACCAUAAAAGGAAAAAUGGAAGUUUAGCAAUGAAGGCGAGACAGUAAAUGAACAAUGGUAAAAGUUGAACAGAUAAUUAAAACAAAUAGUCUUAUGUUGUUCGACUGGAAGAAAUUGCUAGCAGCGGGUUAUUUGUAACAACCAACUACUUACAUAGGCUCCAUCAGUGCAAUUGUAUAUGGUAUGAUACAAAACAUUCCAUCCCUCUUGUAUCAAAGGAACUUGUCUUCCAUAUCGUCUGGUUGAAUACAAAUCAACCCAUGCCUGAAAUAGGAACAACCGUAAUGCAUUUCAGUCUGAAAACAAUACCAAGUUAGUGAAAAUAGAAACUAAAUAAAGCAAAGCAUGGAACAAGGGAAGUGCUUUCGACUUCAGACAUUUAAUAGCUUUAUUGUUAAAACCAAAUGACUUAAUAGAUAUGCAUAAUAUCAUUAAAGGGUUCCCAAUGCACAAGGCUCCCAACAAGUGGGGUCUGGAGAUGGAAGAUACACACAGCCUUACCACCGCAAAUGGAGAGACCUUUUACAAAAUAUGAACCCUUGACGUACAGGCUAUCUAACACUUUUAGUUGAAAGUGUGUCCGACACUGCCACAAGUGGUUGCAUUUAAUCACUUUCAUUUUCUCAAAUUAUUACUAGUGUCUAUGUGUCAGUGUCAUGUACGGAUGUCCUUGUGUGUGUCGGUGCUUCACAGCUUCAUGGUCACAAGGCAUCUAUGCCGAAUCAGAAUAACAUUGCCACAAAUAAAAUAAAAAUGCCACAAGGAAUACGUAACAUUGUUCGCCUGGUAAUGCUUAUUUUAUUCAAGGUUAGAGGCAGCUAUAUAACUUCAUAUAUUCUGAUCAUAAUUAUCAGCAAACUGAGGUUCAAUAUUCUGGUUGUUCUAUAGAAAGGGGGUUGCAGACGAGGGAAGAGAGGAAAAAUAGUGUCAGGAUUAUAUUCGAUGUACAAAAUUACUAAGUAGAGGUGAAUAACUAAAUUUGUGGUAGAAAAUUUCUCCUCAACCAAAUGUGGCAAACAAUAUGAGCACAUCUCUAUAUUAAAAAUACUGGGCUCCUACAAUGUGAGGGGUUCCAUAGGUCACGGCCCACGGGAGAUCCCCCUAACAUGAGAACAUGGUAAGAGUAAGACCUUGAUUGAAAUAGUACAACAUAUCUUAUAUUAUUUCAUUGUUACCUUAGCAUCAAUUUUAUUGUGCUGAAAUGACAUUUCAGACAUCAGAUCAUAUACAACAGGAUUCUGUUCGAUACCUUCCAUCGACAUUCCAACUCCAACCUUCAGAAAAU